GUUCAUCCAUGUUGACAAUUGUAAAAAGACAACUUAAUGACCACCUUGAAAAUGGAGUAUAUGGAUCGCUCCCUGAUCCAGAUCUGAAAUCAAGAACAUCUCAUAGCAAGUUAACAAAUAUACCCGCGGAAAAUUUGUUUGGAGAUCUAGACUUAUAUUUUAAAAGAAAACCAAAUGCAACUUUAAGACACCAUUCUGCAAUAAGUAUGCUCAAACGAAAUAAAACAAUAC
rnacentral:lncRNA from 1 species